rnacentral:tRNA from 1 species
UCCCUAAUGGUCCAGUGGUUAAGACUCUGCACUUCCAAAGCAAGGGUACAGGUUUGAUUCUUGGUUGGGGAA